UGGGGAAUUUUGGACAAUGGGGGAAACCCUGAUCCAGCCAUCCCGCGUGUGCGAUGAAGGCCUUCGGGUUGUAAAGCACUUUUGGCAGGAAAGAAACGUCAUGGGUUAAUACCCCGUGAAACUGACGGUACCUGCAGAAUAAGCACCGGCUAACUACGUGCCAGCAGCCGCGGUAAUACGUAGGGUGCAAGCGUUAAUCGGAAUUACUGGGCGUAAAGCGUGCGCAGGCGGUUCGGAAAGAAAGAUGUGAAAUCCCAGAGCUCAACUUUGGAACUGCAUUUUUAACUACCGGGCUAGAGUGUGUCAGAGGGAAGUGGAAUUCCGCGUGUAGCAGUGAAAUGCGUAGAUAUGCGGAGGAACACCGAUGGCGAAGGCAGCCUCCUGGGAUAACACUGACGCUCAUGCACGAAAGCGUGGGGAGCAAACAGG
rnacentral:rRNA from 1 species